rnacentral:rRNA from 1 species
GAUGAACGCUGGCGGCGUGCCUAAUACAUGCAAGUCGAGCGAACCACUUCGGUGGUGAGCGGCGAACGGGUGAGUAACACGUAGGUGAUCUGCCCAUCAGACGGGGACAACGAUUGGAAACGAUCGCUAAUACCGGAUAGGACGAAAGUUUAAAGGUGCUUCUGGCACCGCUGAUGGAUGAGCCUGCGGCGCAUUAGCUAGUUGGUAGGGUAAAGGCCUACCAAGGCGACGAUGCGUAGCCGACCUGAGAGGGUGAACGGCCACACUGGGACUGAGAC